rnacentral:rRNA from 1 species
GACGAACGCUGGCGGCGUGCUUAACACAUGCAAGUCGAACGAUGAAGCUGGAGCCUGCUCUAGCGGAUUAGUGGCGAACGGGUGAGUAACACGUGAGCAAUCUGCCCUUGACUCUGGGAUAACUGCGGGAAACUGUAGCUAAUACCGGAUACUUUCACCGGGGGGCAUCCUCUGGUGAUGAAAGAAUUUCGGUCAAGGAUGAGCUCGCGGCCUAUCAGCUUGUUGGUGAGGUAACGGCUCACCAAGGCGACGACGGGUAACCGGCCUGAGAGGGGGACCGGUCACACUGGGACUGGGACACGGCCCAGAAUCCUACGGGAGGCAGGAGUGGGGAAGAUUGCACAAUGGGCGCAAGCCUGAUGCAGCAACGCCGCGUGAGGGAUGAAGGCCUUCGGGUUGUAAACCUCUUUUAGCAGGGAAGAAGCGAAAGUGACGGUACCUGCAGAAAAAGCACCGGCUAACUACGUGCCAGCAGCCGCCGUAA